rnacentral:rRNA from 1 species
GACGAACGCUGGCGGCGUGCUUAACACAUGCAAGUCGAACGAUGAAAAAGAGAGCUUGCUCUUUUUGGAUUAGUGGCGAACGGGUGAGUAACACGUGAGUAAUCUGCCCCGGACUCUGGGAUAAGCGUUGGAAACGACGUCUAAUACCGGAUAUGAAGCGUGGAGGCAUCUUCUGCGUUUGGAAAGAUUUUUUGGUUUGGGAUGAGCUCGCGGCCUAUCAGCUUGUUGGUGAGGUAAUGGCUUACCAAGGCGACGACGGGUAGCCGGCCUGAGAGGGUGACCGGCCACACUGGGACUGAGACACGGCCCAGACUCCUACGGGAGGCAGCAGUGGGGAAUAUUGGACAAUGGGCGGAAGCCUGAUCCAGCAACGCCGCGUGAGGGAUGACGGCCUUCGGGUUGUAAACCUCUUUCAGUACCGACGAAGCGCCGAUGAUGGUGGUGACGGUAGGUACAGAAGAAGCACCGGCCAACUACGUGCCAGCCGCCGCGGUAAAAC